UCCACACCUGUUCAUCUGGUCAUUGGUUAGAAGGAAUGCAAGAAAAGCUACGGGCCUUUGAGCUACAGCAGUUUCGUAUUUACUACCCUGAUUCCCUUUCCAGCUUGCACCUUCUCUGCAGUUUCCCUUUCAUCUUAGCACUGUAAGUAAUGCGUGAGCCCCUCCCUAUGGAACAUCGAGAUCUCUUUUAAAUGACAAAAUCAUCUCCAGCUCGCUAACUGGCUUGUAAGAAGAGCUAUUUGCAGUACUGGAAACAUGAACUAUUUCGUCAGGUGUGAUUCUAGGGACCGAGGAGAUGACGGGGUUGGUCCUGGUGGCGCCCUCCUUGGACUGCAUUCAGCUCUGUUCAGUAAGCCUUUGUGAAGGACACGUCAGAUGCCACACCGUACCUUAAACCCUGGAGGCCAAGCAGACCCAGAGGAACAUGGCUUCGGCCAUUUGACAGACUUAGCCUUGAGUUCCAGCAGUGCCCCGUACGUUUCUUAGCCUGUCCCUACCUCUGUGAUGUGCAGGUAACCCUGUAGCGGGGCUACUACAACUCUUUGUGUGGUAAAGCAGCUGACAUCAGUGUGGAAACAAUGACUGCUCCAGCAAUGUUAUUAUUUUGUUAAUCAUUCACAGUCUCAUACAGACCUUUUCAUGUACUAUGAAGUUUAAUAGUGGAAUUUUCAUUUGCUUGGAUCUUUGUACUUCAUUCAUAUAAUUAGUCAGCAUUUUAACUGCUUAUUAGUUUUCAGUCAUUGGCCUAGAAAGGAGUAUUUAUUAUAAAAUUGUGAGUUUGCUUAGGAUGUAUUCAGUUUUCUUGGUCACCUCUAGAUAGGAUUUGAGAUGAGUAGAUUGCCAUUUACAAGAUUAGUAAGGGAAUUUAAAAUAACUCAAGUGCUUUAACCAUUUUUCAGGCCUUUUGUUUUCAUGUUUACUUACAAGUUGACAGUUUAUUAAUCAGAAGAGAGGUUUGCUGUGAAGUUGCGGGGAAGGACACACUGUGUACCAGUGACUAGAAUAGUGAGUUGAGGGCCGGGGAGAUAGCUCAGUGGCAUAAGUGCCUGCCUAGCAAGUGCAUCUUCCUGAGUUCAAUUCCCAGUACCAAAAAAAAAAAAAAAAUAGAAUAGUGAAUUGAAACUUUAGAAAGAAUUUGGAUACUAAUUUUAACCAAGUCAGAAAUGUGUCCAUAACCCUAGUCAGUCUAUUGUAGUUCAUUUGUUUGUUUUCUUUGCCAUCUCCUUCAUUCUCAAAGGUCUUAGCUGAUGAGAAUGUUUACAAGUAGCAUAUAUUUACCAUGUAUGAAUGGGCUAUGUACAAACCAUGACUUAGCCUAGUUUUGUUAGUGUAGGGUAUGGUUCUUAGCCCUUCCUGUGUGUCAUAAUCCUUGAAUGUCUUUAACAUAUUCAGGUCCAAGGUAUCACAUGCCCCACCCUAGUAUUCUGAUUCAUGGGACCUUAGUAUUUGUGUAAGUGGUACACCUACCUGUAUCUGUUUAAGCUUCCAGCUGGCUCCAACAUGCAACCAGCCUGAAAAUCACCUUUAUAAAAUGUCCGGUAAAGCUAAACAGUGUGCUUAGGUCUUUCUCUUAUAUUGUAUGUGUUGGUCGUUUCAUCGCUUACUAGAUGUGGGUAAAUGUGUUAGUUUCCUCUUGCAACAACAAUAAAUUGCCAUAAACUUGUA